rnacentral:misc_RNA from 1 species
CAUAGGACCAUUUGCAAAUGGACGUGGGGGAACAGGAGCACCAACCGCACCAUUGGCUUGAGGUCCUAUGCCUCCAGCUCCUGUUCCAGCAAUUCGGCCACCACCUAUGCAGCCUAAUAUCUACCCACCAAUGCAGAUGCCUCCACCACAAGCUUGGCAGGGACAGCCUAUGCCACCACCAGUUGCAGGUGGCAUUCCGCAGCAGCAAAUGCAAUUCAGAGGAAUGCCACCUCCGCCGCCCCCACAGUUAGCUCCACCCCUAAAUAGGCCCCCUCCACCACCAGCUGCAAUGGGUGGUAAUGUUUGGCGUCCGCCACCACCUCCUCAGCACUUCAAUGGCGGUCAUCAUGCUAUGCCCCAUAUGUCGAUGCAGCCACCCCCUCCACCUCCUGCACCAGGUUGAAAAUUGGAGAUGCCUAAUUUUGUACUACUUUGAAUGUUUUUCCUUUCUGGGAUAUAACAUAUUUUUAAAAUAGUACUUGCACUGUAAAAACGUGUUGAUGUUGGUAUUUCAAACUUUUAGUUGAGG